rnacentral:rRNA from 1 species
AGUCGACGGUGAACAGGAGCUUGCUCUUGCGGAUCAGUGGCGAACGGGUGAGUAACACGUGAGUAACCUGCCCUUGACUCUGGGAUAAGCGUUGGAAACGACGUCUAAUACCGGAUACGAGCUUCAGUCGCAUGACUAGGAGCUGGAAAGAAUUUCGGUCAAGGAUGGACUCGCGGCCUAUCAGCUAGUUGGUGAGGUAACGGCCCACCAAGGCGACGACGGGUAGCCGGCCUGAGAGGGUGACCGGCCACACUGGGACUGAGACACGGCCCAGACUCCUACGGGAGGCAGCAGUGGGGAAUAUUGCACAAUGGGCGCAAGCCUGAUGCAGCAACGCCGCGUGAGGGACGACGGCCUUCGGGUUGUAAACCUCUUUAGUAGGGAAGAAGCGAAAGUGACGGUACCUGCAGAAAAAGCGCCGGCUAACUACGUGCCAGCAGCCGCGGUAAUACGUAGGGCGCGAGCGUUAUCCGGAAUUAUUGGGCGUAAAGAGCUCGUAGGCGGUUUGUCACGUCUGCUGUGAAAACUGGAGGCUCAACCUCCAGCCUGCAGUGGGUACGGGCAGACUAGAGUGCGGUAGGGGAGAUUGGAAUU